rnacentral:tRNA from 1 species
AUUACUUUGGCAGAAUAGUGCAAUAGAUUUAGGAUCUUUAAAUGUUUAAAUACAGGUAAUA